UGAAGGUCCUCUGGAUUGUAAACUUCUUUUAUCUGGGACGAAAAACGGAGAUUCUUCUCCACUUGACGGUACCAGGUGAAUAAGCACCGGCUAACUCCGUAC
rnacentral:rRNA from 1 species